GCUCACUACCACAGUGCCUCUGUCUUCUCUAAAGCUCUAGCAACCGGAGCCAAACUUCCGGCGAGCCGAUUAACUUGCCGGACAUACCCCUCCGACACCCCCUUCUUGCUUCGUCAAACACACACACCUCAAGAUCCCUGCCCCCACCCUUUUUGCUUCAGUUCAACCACCAGAAUCACCCAUAUCUCCGUCAUCGGCGACCACUGUAGGCGGCGAUGGCGUGGUGGAGGUUUUCGGGUCGUUGUUCGAGCGAGCGAGAGAGAGAUGGGCAGAGAACGGUAGUGAAAGAGGAAACCGAUGGAGCCGGCUGUUGAUAUUCCCGGCGGCCGGAAAGGAGCGAGCAUCGGCAGCAGCAGCAGCAGCCUGAAGUAGGACUAUGCAUAAAUGUGAAAAAGUAGCAGAUUCGUAUGGUUCGCCAAAAUUUUGUUAAAGGAAUUGGAAUUUGCGAUCUGUUUUCAACUCCGGGUAACAAGGGUGGUCGUUCUGGAAUCUGGCAGCCGUAACUCAAGACUACUCCGGUAAGAACUCCCAAUCUGGCAGCCUCAACCCAAACCGACCUAGCAAUUGCUACCGGAUUCGAAAGGUUCACAUACGCUGAGAUAGUGAAGGCAUCUCAAAAAUUUAGAGAAGAGAUGAAGACAAAACAAGCUUCCGAUGAAUAUGUAAUUUUAUUUUCUUUAUGUUCGUAGAUUUUAUACAUUUUUUGUUUGUAAAUUUGUAUAAAUUUAUGAUUAAUGGUAUUGAAUUUGUAUAGUUUUUAGUUUUAUUUGAUUUUGUAUCAGAUCUCUCGGAUGAUUUAUAAAUAGAAUAAAACAAGAAAAAACAUU
rnacentral:lncRNA from 1 species